UUUAGACACCAGAUUUGAGAGAGAGUAAGAUGAUUUCUGCUGCCAAACCUUGAGAGGUAAGUCUUGAUUCGAAUUUCCUCCAUUCCUCUUUAGUACCUCCUGAAAUUGUCAAGAAACAAUAUUUGCUGUUUCAGCUUUCAUCUCAUUGAAUCCAAUCAACAACAUCAGCUACCAACACAAAACAAUUGCAAGGUUAAGCGCAAGAGUAAGAACUAGUCAAGGGGUUACUGAACUGUAGCAAAGCUUUGCUAUCAGGUUGAGCAAUGGCUGAUGAAGAUGAAGUGAUGAGCGGAGCUUUUGUCAUGAGUUUAAAAUGGACUCUUGGAUACAUGUCUUCAUACAUGUAAUCAGAUUAUGUUAUUCCGCUACAUACUCUCAAGUAAUAUGUCUUUAAGCUAAGUCGGGUUCAUCCGAACUCACGAGUUAAUCGAGUCCUUGUGACUAAACAACAGUUAUCUUAUGAUUGUCCCUCCUUAACAAUGAUUUGAUUUCGAGCCUUCAUUAUUUAUUCACCCCCUUUCUAUCCC